AAAAAAGAAAAAAAAGACAUUUAAGAUCUAUGAAUAUUGUAGCUCGUUCAAUAAAAUAAGCUCUAGGUUCAUCAAUAUUCUCGUUAGCGUUUUUAUCACGAAUGGUUCAUAUGAACUUUUCAAAAGUCUUUGUUUGAGUUCUCAAACUUUUAAAUCAAUCAAUGUAGUUUAUAAACUUUUGGUCUACACAUCACUUUGAC
rnacentral:lncRNA from 1 species